AUGACUAUUAUUGAUUGCUACUAAUGUAUAAAAUUCAUUAUUACAUAAAAAGUAAAUUCUCAAAAUUAAUGAACUCCGAGGAAAAUUUUAAACGAAAAGUCUUUAAUCAAAUGGAAAAAUCAAAUGACAAAACACAUCAAACGAAUGGAUAACAACUGUCAUAUUCCUUACUUCUUACAGGCAUUUUCAAUAUUUUGAUAAAGUUUAUGAAAAAACUAUCCACCAGAGACAAAAUGAUGUACACAUAGAUGUUACAAACUGUUAGUCAUCGUAUGGCCUUCAACAAUGUGCAAAGCCCUUACAGUAUUUCAAGCUUGAAAUGCCCCAUACAAAAUGUAAACUAAUUCAAACGAGACAACAACGUACUGAUUUAUAAAAAAAAUAAGAACAAAACUAAAUUAAAAAAUAAUUAUGUACAGAAAGAAAAGACAACAACUGAAUUGCAAGCACAUACAACAUGUUAUGGGAUUAAAUAUUUUUUGCAAGCGCUCAACCCUCUACACGAC
rnacentral:lncRNA from 1 species